GCCCUUCAGAGGGGGACAACAGUUGGAAACGACUGCUAAUACCGCAUACGAUCCAAUCUCGGCAUCGAGACUGGAUGAAAGGUGGCCUCUAUUUAUAAGCUAUCGCUGAAGGAGGGGAUUGCGUCUGAUUAGCUAGUUGGAGGGGUAACGGCCCACCAAGGCGAUGAUCAGUAGCCGGUCUGAGAGGAUGAACGGCCACAUUGGGACUGAGACACGGCCCAG
rnacentral:rRNA from 1 species